GAGGAUAUAGCUCAGUGGUAGAGCACGUGCUUAACAUGCGCAAGGUCCUAGGUUCAAUCCCCAGUACCUCCA
rnacentral:tRNA from 1 species